rnacentral:rRNA from 1 species
UACGUAGGGUGCAAGCGUUGUCCGGAAUUAUUGGGCGUAAAGAGCUCGUAGGCGGUCUGUCACGUCGGCUGUGAAAUCCCGAGGCUCAACCUCGGGUCUGCAGUCGAUACGGGCAAACUAGAGUAUUGCAGGGGAGACUGGAAUUCCUGGCGUAGCGGUGAAAUGCGCAGAUAUCAGGAGGAACACCGGUGGCGAAGGCGGGUCUCUGGGCAAUAACUGACGCUGAGGAGCGAAAGCGUGGGGAGCAAACAGG